UACGGGGGGGGCCAGCGUUGUUCGGAAUUACUGGGCGUAAAGGGCUCGUAGGCGGCCAACUAAGUCAGACGUGAAAUCCCUCGGCUUAACCGGGGAACUGCGUCUGAUACUGGAUGGCUGGAGUUUGGGAGAGGGAUGCGGAAUUCCAGGUGUAGCGGUGAAAUGCGUAGAUAUCUGGAGGAACACCGGUGGCGAAGGCGGCAUCCUGGACCAAUACUGACGCUGAGGAGCGAAAGCCAGGGGAGCAAACGGG
rnacentral:rRNA from 1 species